GAUUAUUGGAUGACAGGCUGCCUCCUAGGGGGCUUCUCUGGGCUUGCCAUGAAAGCACUUCCGGAGGAAAAGCAGAGCUCCAUCAGUCUCUUUUGGAGAGCUGUGAACGUGACCAGACCUAUUAAUUACUUAACUGAGGUGCUGAACUUUGAAAAUGAAAGUUCCGGUGGGGAGUUCUGUCCUUUCCAGCCUGGGGAGCUCUGUCAGGGCUCUCCUGAGCGUCUCUUUCAGCUUAUCAAGCUCGCUCGGGGACCGUCUCUGCCGCCAUGUAGGAAGUGCCUUUAGCCUUCUGCCAUGAUUGUGAGGCCUCCCCAGCCAUGUGCAACUACUGGGAAAGUGAGGUGCAGAGGUAUUUUGCAACGUGCCCACAGAACCCCAGCGAGCCCGUGUUGGAGUUACAACUGUGCCUCAGGGAGCAUUCUCAGGCAGCAUUCUCUUAUGCUUCACCGUCUCACAGAUGAUAAGGUUUCAUUCAAGGACUUACAACAGCAACCCGGAGGGAGCAUUCUCAGUGGCUGGUAGAUGCCAUUUGUACUGAGCAGGACAAUUAAGCCCAAUUCUGGAAAAAUUCUGCUUUCUCUAUUCAAUGCAUUUUAUAAAUGUCUUCACUCAGCACAUUUACCCUACUAAUUAUAUUUUGCUUUGUGAUCAUGGUAUGUCAUUUGCAUUCCUUCAGCACACACUGACUGAUGGGGAAGAGAUGUUGGGUGACCCAGGCAAGCCAAACAGGAUUAAAGCCUGCUGUCUCACCAGGUGGAUAAUCCACUUUGAACACUUGAGAGGGGAGUGUUGAGAUCACACCCCUUCCCAUGGGACAUUUUUCUGGGAAAUAAAAUCGGUGACAAACACCACGCUUGAACACUCACAUUGACUCUAGGGUGCAGGCUGAGCUCAUCUGGUGCAGGGGAGUAAUGCAGAGGCGAGGCCUGAGUCAGCGCCAGGCACAGGAAGGGGAUGCAGGAUGCACCACAGCCCAUGCCUCUUAGGAGAAAAUCUGGGCCUUCUCCAUGGCUGUGUCUCUAUUAAUUUGCUAAGGCUGCCCAAAUAAAGCACCACACAUGGGCAGCUUACAUAACAGGAAUUUAUUCUCAGUUCUGGAGGCCGGCAGUCUGAGAUCAAGGUGUCAGCACAGCUGGUUCCUUCUGAGGACUGUGCAGGAGAAUCUGUUCCAGGCCUCUCCCUGAACUUCUGGGGGUCACUGGCCAUAUUUGGCAUUCCUUGGCUUAUAGAAGCAAUACCCCAAUUUCUGCCUUCAUCCGCAUGUGGCAUUCUCCCUGUGUGCGUGUUUCUGUGUCCACAUUUUUCCUUUUUAUAAGGAUACCAGUCAUGUUGGAGGUCUACCCUACUCCUUGAUGACCUUAUCUUAACUAGUUAUAUCUGCAACAAACCUAUUUCCAAAUUAGGUCACAUUCUGAGGUCCUGGGGGUUAGGACUUUAACAUAUGAAUUUUAAGAGGACACAGUCCAACCCAUAAUAGUAACUUUGUCCCUCUCUCUCUUUUGACACAAUAAUGACCCUAUGCAGGGAUAUUUCUAGGUGGCUACUGUCUGUGUGUGUGUGGUAGGGGGACUUCUAGUACUGUUUUGGAUUACUGUUGACAGACAGCAGCCUGAGGCUAGGAAGCACUUUGGGGCCAUGACUUAGAGCAAAGCUAGUAAGUUUUCUCAGGAAUUUGAACCCAGAAUUUCAUCCCCAUGGCACUUUAAUCCAGUACAUUUAAUGGCUCAGAUGACCCUGGCCUUAUCAGCCUGGUGCUCUAAGCAGCUGACCUAACAGUGUGUGCAUGCGUGUAUGCACAUGUGUAUGUUAUGUGCAUAUAUAAGUGCAUACACAUAAUGUUGGACACAGAAAUAUCUCUGAGAACUGUCCCUUUAUCACCCUUCAGAUAAAAUUAUUCUCAGCUUGCUUAGUUGCAGUGUUUCUUACUUUGCAUCUCCUAACACUUUCAUACAUUUCUCCCGAAGUGCAUAGGCAAGGAGCUUCAACGGAAUUCAAUGUCAACCUGGUCAUCUUACCAUGAUUUCUAGGAAAAAAUGUGUGUAAUUGGUUCAUGCCCUCCUUCUGUACAGAUUACAAUUCUCCUUUUUUGGCAUGAAAACCUCCAUCUGUCUUUUGAAAGCACAUGUCACUUAUUUAUUAAAGUCCUCCCCAACUUGUUCAGGUUGAGUUUCACUAGUACCUUUCUGGAGUAUUUUAUACCUAUGUUAUAGCCCCAUAUGUUAUACUUUGGAUGUCUGUUUACCUGUCUGUAAGACUGUCUGCAUAAUUCAUGGGCCUUGUACAAAAUAAGAAUUCAGGGACUCUUGUUACAAGAAACUAUUAAGAAUUUCAAGAUGGGUCAGGCGCGGUGGCUCACGCCUGUAAUCCCAACACUUUGGGAGGCUGAGGCGGGCAGAUCACGAGGUCAGGAGUUCGAGACCAGCCUGGCCAACAUGGCGAAACCCUGUCUCUACUAAAAAUACAAAAAUGAGCUGGGCGUGGUGGUGUCUGCCUGUAAUUCCAGCUACUCAGGAGGCUGAGGCAGGAGAAUCACUUGAACCUGGGAGGUGGAGGUUGCAGUGAGCCAAGAUCGCACGGUUGCACUUCAGCCUGGGAAAUGGAAUGAGACUCCAUCUCAAAAAAAAAAAAAAAAA
ensembl:lncRNA LINC01426 long intergenic non-protein coding RNA 1426